GACGAACGCUGGCGGCGUGCUUAACACAUGCAAGUCGAGCGGUAAGGCCCUUUCGGGGGUACACGAGCGGCGAACGGGUGAGUAACACGUGGGUGACCUGCCCUCAGCUCUGGGAUAAGCCUGGGAAACUGGGUCUAAUACCGGAUAUGACUCCAUGACGCAUGUUGUGGGGUGGAAAGCCUUGUGCGGCUGAGGAUGGGCCCGCGGCCUAUCAGCUUGUUGGGGGGUGAUGGCCUACCAAGGCGACGACGGGUAGCCGGCCUGAGAGGGCGACCGGCCACACUGGGACUGAGACACGGCCCA
rnacentral:rRNA from 1 species